rnacentral:rRNA from 1 species
AGCAGCCGCGGUAAUUCCAGCUCCAAUAGCGUAUAUUAAAGUUGUUGCAGUUAAAAAGCUCGUAGUUGAAUUUCGGGGUUAGUAGGCUGGUCGUGCCACUGGUAUGUACUGGUCUCACUGAUUCCUCCUUCCUGAUGAGCUGUAAUGCCAUUAAUUUGGUGUUGCAGGGAAUCUGGACUGUUACUUUGAAAAAAUUAGAGUGUUUAAAGCAGGCUAACGCUUGAAUACAUUAGCAUGGAAUAAUGAAAUAGGACGAUCGAACCUAUUUUGUUGGUUUCUAGGAUUGACGUAAUGAUUAAUAGGGAUAGUUGGGGGCAUUAGUAUUCAAUUGUCAGAGGUGAAAUUCUUGGAUUUAUUGAAGACUAACUACUGCGAAAGCAUUUGCCAAGGAUGUUUUCUAUUAAUCAAGAACGAAAGUUAGGGGAUCGAAGACGAUCAGAUACCGUCGUAGUCUUAACCAUAAACUAUGCCGACUAGGGAUCGGAUGAUGUUAAUUUUUAAUGACUCAUUC